UGUCAAAGGAAAAUAUGAGCACCCAGAGAGGUGAAAGCGCGUGUUGCCCGAACAUAAGAUUAUAGACACCAUAUCCAUAAAUUUUCUCAGCUCUCCGUAUGUAGGGUCUUCCACCUAUAGAUUUAUAAGCUCAUCUAGUAGUUAUAAUACCUAUUUAAUAAGGUAUAUCUGAUGAGGCUUGCAUGUUUAAGCUUUUAAAAGCUAAGGUACGCAGGCUACUUGUGCUGAAGGGUAUAAAUAUUGAAAUUGAAAAACUUGAAACAAAUAAGUAUCUUUUAUCGAUCUUUUAUUGGGGUUUCUCUACAUUAUUAAUCGUUAUAUUGACUUAACUAUCCGUGUUUUAAUGUUGUGGGUGUGGACUUCAUUUUUUUAUGUAAAAAGUGUUUCCAAGUUUUGGGCGGUUAAUGUCCGUAAAAAAAAAGAUCGAAUUCUUGAAAUUUUAAAUGUUUGGAUUACAUGAUGUUUUGGAAUCAAAGGCGGUGCUUACAUGGUGGGCUCACCUCCUUUACUAUUUUCUUUUCUUUAACUCUGAUUUCUUAAAUAUCCUCUACGAAAGAUAUUUUUAAAGCCCAUUUAAACUACUGAAUGCUUGUAGACAUUUUAAGGCCUGUGGCUAAGUCCUCUUCUUCUUAUCUCAAGAACCGCAUCGAACUUUCUCUCAAGAUCUAUGGCGGAAGAGCAUCAACGUCAGACGCCGGUAGGCCACCGUCCGUGUUCUAUCAUCUGCGGCUUCCUCGACUGCCCCACCACCAUGAAUAUUUGCUCCAACUGCCACGGCCAUCUCUGCCUCAAGAAACAAACUUGCGUGAAAUCCACCUUGAAAUCCUCUAUCUCUGCAGUUCCCCCCCCCCCCCCCCCCUCACAUCCGCUGAAUUGAGAUAAACGACGAAGAACGUGACCCUCAGACGACAAAACAGCCGUAGACGGGUUGAAAUGCCAAUCUGUAAUGACUUGUUGCCCAUGCGCCCAUAGAUUCCCGGAGGUCCAUGGCUGCACCUUUCAUUUCAAAUCGCCGGUCGCGAAAAAAUUGGCUGGUCUCCAAUACUGAAAGUAAGAUUUCUCUCGAUAUAAGAAAAUAGAAGAACGAUGUUCAAGGGAUGAAUACUAACCUUUUUAUAGGUGAGAAUCACCGAUUGGAUGAUAGAUAAGAUUCAUUGAAUUAGAGAUCGUGGUCGUAGUUGUGAGGAAGAGUUAAGUUUGGGUUAAUGAUGCCCAAUCAAUGCGACUUGUAACGUUUCGGAGGUGAAGCAUCGAGUCUAAAACGUCAUGUGUCAGACGGGAAGAUUGUUGACAAAUCGUCAGGUCACACGCAAUCUUAGAACCGCCGUUGACAGAACCCGAUAGUCGUAGAACUGAUGAACCCUAAAAUUGCGAGGUCGAAAGAAGAUAAUGCCGAUAUGGACCUCUCUUUUGUAUGGAUUUGGGCCCAGAAAUAAGUUACUAUCAGUAUCUAUAAUUUUAUAUUCGGGCAAGCCUAUUAAUAAAACAGAAAAGCAAUCGAUUUUUUAAUUGAGUAUGCCCGAAAACUUCAAAAACCCGCGUAGCAAAAUGAGCCCAUUUAUCGAUGAGUUAAUGAUUUUCAAGCAGCCGACACGUGUCAGCACAAGAAUCUUCGAAUUUGUGACCUGGAUGCUGAGGUGGCUUCACCAGGAGAGGAAAAACUCUUCUUUAUAUAUAAAGAUAUAUACUAGUGGUUUGUACGCGCUACGCGCGGGAUGUGGUUUGAUGAUCGCCGCCAGUGUUGUGGGAAGUUGUUAUUUAAAUAUUUGGAUAGGUAGUGGAAGUAGUAGGUUGUUAGGUCUGCAAAUUUUUAGUACCUACAGCGGAUGCCAAACUUUCAUGGCAAAUGUGUCCUAAUGUUUGGCCAAGUUGAAUGAAACUUUUCAUUAUUAUUUAUCAAAUGAUGUGUUGGUUUUUGGGAGCAUUCGUAGAAUUUGUAUUCAUUUGGUUUAAUGGUUGGUUUUAGUGUUGUCAUAACUCGUGAGUGAGAAUCAGAGUCCCACUUAAUUUGAAGGAAGUAAAACCAGAGAAUCUUGAAUCUACUGUUGUGCCACAGGGCUUUCUUUGUACUCUUGAAUGGGUUGAGAUUAAAGAAGUGACAAUGGUUUGAGAAAGUUGGGAAGAAAAGAGCGGGAAACAUCGAGAGAACCAAAGUAUUAAAUCUUUUACUCAAAAGAAAAGAAGAUUUGGAUUGAAGUAGUGAAUUAUAUAAUUUAUAUUCUUGAAAACUUAUUAGUCCUCAAGAAACUCAUUUUGUGUUUCUUAUGCGACCAACAACGACGUCUUAGAUAUCUCACAGACGCUUCUUACAUUCACAAAAUGUUGUGAAAUCUUCAAUCAUUUGACAUCUCUUUAAAGAUCAAUGUAGGAAUAAUAUCUUUUAUUGUGAAAAGUGGAGUAAGGCCUGGCAUUUUACCAAUCUAUGGUCUCAUUUCAGAGAUCAACCUGGGUUUAUGAAUCUAUGAUCUCAUUUCAGAGAUUCAAUCUUAUAGAGCUAUGACAAAGGAUCUGAGUUCCUUGUUCAUGAUAGACAUUGAUACCAAAUUCAAUGUUGUUCUUGGCACUGUUUCACAAAUCAUGAGAGAUAUUAUCUGUGACUUUCUAAGCUGUAGUAAUGUUAGAAAAAUGAUAGGCCUUGGAACCUUUCUUCUUUUUAAAACUGUGUGUAAUCUUGGAGAUUUAUAUAUAUAAUAUGGUAAACAAAUCAAGUCUCGAUAUAUCAUUAUAGUCAAUCUCUGAUCUGGUUGCAUCUUGCUUUCAAAUUGUUAUCAUAAUACUCACUCUUGCGUUAUUUAUUGAUUCGUAAUCAGCUUCUUAACUUUGCUAUCAGAAAGUACGUUUUUUGAGUGAUCUCUCUUGUUUAUUUUUUUGCAGAUUUUUGUGCUAAUGUCUGGUUUCACAAUGUAGUUUUACAAUGCACUCAAUGUUCUGAACCUUGUGUUCUUUUUUCUUCAGUGUACAACAGCUAAAUUAUAGUAUUUUGCUAUA